CUAAAAUCUUUUUGAUAAUGACAAAAGGGGAGAAAAUGCAUGGAGUAUUUAAGAAGAGACUGAAGCAUUAGAACUUGAACAAAACAGUUUCUACCCAAACAACUUAUGAGUAAUAAGCUUUAAGUUAUUUAUAUUAUUCGGUAAUUUAUCUUAUUGGGCAUAAAUGAUUAAUUUAAUUAACAAAUACAGAAGUUAAGGAAAGCUUAC
rnacentral:lncRNA from 1 species